rnacentral:rRNA from 1 species
CGUUGAUUACGUCCCUGCCCUUUGUACACACCGCCCGUCGCUACUACCGAUUGAAUGGCUCAGUGAGGCUUCCGGACUGGCCCAGAGAGGUCGGCAACGACCACUCAGGGCCGGAAAGCUAUCCAAACUCGGUCAUUUAGAGGAAGUAAAAGUCGUAACAAGG